UACGAAGGGGGCUAGCGUUGCUCGGAAUCACUGGGCGUAAAGGGCGCGUAGGCGGCCAUUCAAGUCAGGGGUGAAAGCCCAAGGCUCAACCUUGGAAUUGCCUUUGAUACUGUUUGGCUUGAGACCGGAAGAGGUCGGCGGAACUGCGAGUGUAGAGGUGAAAUUCGUAGAUAUUCGCAAGAACACCAGUGGCGAAGGCGGCCGACUGGUCCGGUUCUGACGCUGAGGCGCGAAAGCGUGGGGAGCAAACAGG
rnacentral:rRNA from 1 species